rfam:Salmo salar isolate Sally breed double haploid chromosome ssa16, whole genome shotgun sequence.
CUCUUAAAAGGUUUAAGUCGCUCUGGAUAAGAGCGUCUGCUAAAUGACUUAAA